CAAGAAGGGCCAUGAAAUUCAGCUUGCACAAGCUCAUCCUGCAAGGGACUUGCAGAAUUAAGCCACAAUAUUUAUAGCACCCUAUUUCUUCCCAGUUAACCAGGAAACUGAUUUGAUUAAAGUGAAAACCAAAUUCUGUUUACUUACACUGCAUUUCUGUGGUUGGCUUGCAUAACAGCAUAAAGAAGAUGGCAGCUGUUACUACCACUCUGGUAUUAAUAUCUGAACUGCUAAUCGAUUUCACAGUUUAUACAUGGCACAAAGGUCCUUGUGCAUGCUGCCUUUCACACAGAUUUAUUUGUUUUCCUCCCAGCAAGGUGUCCUUGACAUGGCAGAAAACGUCCGUCGCCCUUAGUAUUUGAUUUUUAAAAUAAAAUGAAGAGAAUUUUAAGUAUGAUUUACAAGCAGUGCCAGGCUGAUGGCUCUUCUCCAGUGGCUUUUUAAUUCAAGCACACAAAGUAACAGGCAAUUGCAUAGUGAGUGUUCCUACAAGCAUCACUUCUCUGCUGGGAGGCUUUGGGGGGUUUUUAGCAGGUUGACCUUACAUCUUAGCUCUAGGUCUUAGACCCGAGGUCCUGUUCACUCCAUCAGGCACUGUGCCACAUAAUCCUGGGAAGCUGUGGUGGAAGAAAUUCUGUUUGUUUAGGUUAUCCCGUUUUCUCCCUUGGCUUUGCAGUGACCGGGAUCAAAGCCCCUGACACCACUGUCCUCGUGUGCAGUCCCUGUCCUGACCAGUGAAACCAUCACCACUGAGUCCUUCCCCCUGGACUGCAGCUCUGAGAUGGGACCUCCCGCUCACCUGCCCUGACGGAGCCGUGCACUCCCAAGUCCCACACCACGUAUUUCAUUCUCCAGGAAGCAGAUGCCUGUGCUGUGGCACCAGUACCUGCAGCACUGACUGUGCUGAGCUCAAGAUCAGAAAUACAUCCGUGCAUACCCGGGAAAACAAGCUACUUGAGUGUUUCCAGUGUAAAACGCAGAAAGCACAGGCCCAGCACUGACCUGCAUGGCCGAGACACUGGAGAGCCUCUGUGUGCUCCAGGGCCUGCAAGGACUCCACCAGCUCCACCACAGUGCACCCACGAUC